rnacentral:rRNA from 1 species
AGAUUGAACGCUGGCGGCAUGCCUUACACAUGCAAGUCGAACGGCAGCACGGGAGCAAUCCUGGUGGCGAGUGGCGAACGGGUGAGUAAUAUAUCGGAACGUGCCCAGUCGUGGGGGAUAACGCAGCGAAAGCUGUGCUAAUACCGCAUACGAUCUAUGGAUGAAAGGCGGGGGAUCGACAACGCCUCGCGCGAGUUGGACGCGGACCGAUAUCAGAUUAGCUAGGUUGGGUAGGGGUAAAA